CUCGCUACAUAUUGGUCACCAAACCAUUGGCUCCAGGUGAUCUAUAAGUCUUUGCUAGGUAAAGCCCCCCUUAUCUCAGCUCACUGGUCACCAUAGCAACACCCACCCGUAGCACGUGCUCCAGCAGGUAUAUUUCACUGUUCACCCCCAAAGCCAACUCCUUAGGCCGCCUUCCCUUCCAGUUCUCUGCUGCCAAUGACAGGAACGAACUGCAAAAAUCACUGAAGCUGGAGACUUGUAUCUUACCGAUCGCUGCACCUGUACACAGCCCAUCUGUAAAUAGCACAACCAACUACCUCAUCCCCAUAUUGUUAUUUACCCUCUUGCUCUUUUUGCACCCCAGUAUCUCUACUUCAUAUCAUCGUCUGCACAUCUAUCACUACAGUGUUAAUGAUAAAUUGUAAUUAUUUCACCUCUAUGGCCUAUUUGUUGCCUUUACCUCCCUAAUCUUACUACAUUUGCACACACUGUAUAAAUCUUUUUUUCUACUGUAUUAAAGACUGUACGUUUGUUUAUGUGUAACUCUGUGUUGUUGUAUGUGUUGAACUGCUAUGCUUUAUCUUGGCCUGGUCGCAGUUGUAAAUGAGAACUUGUUCUGAACUGACCGACCUGGGUAAAUAAAGGUGGAAUAAAAAAAAAACAAUUCAAUAAUGGCCAUUGGCUAUGAGGUAAGGAAAAUGGGACAGAUCCAGAAUGAAGGAAAUGACAGUAUGUUCUGUCUACUUUAACGCGACUUCAUGUUUGUUCAGUAUGAGGUAAGACAGUAUAUGGUUUACCAUCGCGACUCACAGAUGACACGGCUGACACAAAUAGACGACCACAGCCAAGAGGUGACUGAGGGGAAGAGAACACAGACAGACACAUAAUUUUUAAAAAACACACACACACACACAUAAAUUACACCACAUAUACAGCAAACACACACACACAUAAAUUACACCGCAUAUUCAGAAAACAGACACACACACACACACACGUGCACACACAGUGACCUGGCCUUGCCCCCUCUCCUCCAGUUUCAGUCCUGCCUCUCAGUGGCUGCUAUGAAGUCUGCCACUCUGACCUCUGUGUGUUCUGCUUAACAGUCAUAAUGAAUUAAGGAGCAUAAUUGUAGUGGGCACUCUGGACACACACAGUCUUCCUCUGGUGGAGAGUAGCUGAUCAAGAAACUUCCAUGUAAGAGAGAAAACGUCCUGUUUACCAUGCAGGCAGAUGAGGGAGGGAGGUUUCUAGGCUCUAGUCUUAGGUUCUGCAGGCGGAUGAGGGAGGGAGGUUUCUAGGCUCUAGUCUUAGGUUCUGCAGGUGGAUGAGGGAGGGAGGUUUCUAGGCUCUAGUCUUAGGUUCUGCAGGCGGAUGAGGGAGGGAGGUUUCUAGGCUCUAGUCUUAGGUUCUGCAGGCGGAUGAGGGAGGGAGGUUUCUAGGCCCUAGUCUUAUGUUCUGCAGGCGGAUGAGGGAGGGAGGUUUCUAGGCUCUAGUCUUAGGUUCUGCAGGCGGAUGAGGGAGGGAGGUUUCUAGGCUCUAGUCUUAGGUUCUGCAGACGGAUGAGGGAGGGAGAUUUCUAGGCUCUAGUCUUAGGUUCUGCAGGCGGAUGAGGGAGGGAGGUUUCAAGGCUCUAGUCUUAUGUUCUGCAGGCAGAUGAGGGAGGGACGUUUCAAGGCUCUAGUCUUAGGUUCUGCAGGCGGAUGAGGG